rnacentral:rRNA from 1 species
GAUGAACGCUGGCGGCGUGCCUAAUACAUGCAAGUCGAGCGAACGGACGAGAAGCUUGCUUCUCUUAUGUUAGCGGCGGACGGGUGAGUAACACGUGGACAACCUACCUAUUAGACUGGGAUAACUUCGGGAAAUCGGUGCUAAUACCGGAUAAUACUUUGAACCGCAUGGUUUAUCGUUGAAAGACGGUCCUGCUUUCACUUAUAGAUGGAUCCGCGGUGCAUUAGCUAGUUGGUAAGGUAACGGCUUACCAAGGCCACGAUGCGUAGCCGACCUGAGAGGGUGAUCGGCCACACUGGAACUGAGACACGGUCCAGACUCCUACGGGAGGCAGCAGUAGGGAAUCUUCCGCAAUGGGCGAAAGCCUGACGGAGCAACGCCGCGUGAGUGAUGAAGGCCUUCGGAUCGUAAAGCUCUGUUGUUAGGGAAGAACAAAUAUCGAAGUAACUGGGGUUACCGUGACGGUACCUAACGAGAAAGCCACGGCUAACUACGUG